rnacentral:lncRNA from 1 species
CCUUAUUUAUUAAAUUUCAUCCAACUUAACUACCUCACUAACUACAAUUAAUAAGGAUGUUUUAGUAAUACUAGUUUUACCAUCAAAAUCAACACAAUUAAUCAUUUCCUUAAUAAUCGUGCAUAAACCUCAAACGACUAUUAUUUAGAGACGGAUGGAGUAUUUCGAAACGUUGGCAAAAUAUGUUUCAAGAACCCAAUUUCAUCAAUAAUUGUUUGUUUAAUAAUAGAUUAAUAAUGUCUUUUCAAAUGUUAAUAAAUAGGUUAUUUGCAAGAAACUCAUUGUACAUUUAAUUUGUCUAUGACUAUUGUCUUGAUCAUUUUUAUUGUUGAAAAAGUUU